rnacentral:lncRNA from 1 species
UAUGCUGACGGGAGGCUCGGUUGACCUCUAAGGAGGACUUCGAAAGACGCCGCAUCACUUGUUCUCUGAUAUCAUUUUUUUUUACUUUAACGAGUGUACAGUCGAGGUGGACACAUUGUGGAAACUUGUCUCUCCGUGUUAUUUAUGCCUUAGUGAUUAAGGAAGACCAAUGGAUAACGUUUUGGCGGUGAAUGCCGCGUCGCAGGACGGAAAGGCUUCUUCAUUUCGCGACCAACUUUACAGCCCGCUUUCACGGACUACCGUUGCUUAAAGAUAGCCGCGAAAAGAAAGAAAGAUAAAAA